rnacentral:misc_RNA from 1 species
AAGUCGUAACAAGGUUUCCGUAGGUGAACCUGCGGAAGGAUCAUUAAUGAACUUUGUUAGUGAGUUGAUGCUGGUGGGGGUUAAAUCCACAUGUGCUCGCUCCUACACCUUCUUAUCCAUACACCUGUGCACCUCUGAGGGUUCGAGAUGGUUUCGAAAGGAACCUGAUCGGCCUUCUCUUACAAACACUAUUUUGAUUUAUGAACGUGAUUGUGCCGCAAGGCCAUAAACUUAUACAACUUUUAACAACGGAUCUCUUGGCUCUC